AACAAUGUGGAGAGAUUUGGACUGCUUGCAACCACAGAAAAAAAUGCUAAAACGAUUUUC
rfam:Fermentimonas caenicola genome assembly, chromosome: chrI